AUAGACCGCAACGCUGCGUCGUUGCUAGCUCUUGACCACGGAUGUACUGGGUCUGGUGAUUAAACGACGAUGAGGAAGGUCGGUGCGAAUUUGCACCGGCCUUUUUGUUA
rnacentral:sRNA from 1 species